CCGGAUUCAUAGGAACAACCGCAUCCAAACCUGCGAUGCCACGUCUCGUCCGUAGCAGCAGUCCGUAGCAGCAGCCCGUAGGUGUAGGAUUAUUGUUAUUUCUCCGCCUCCCUUUCUUUUUCUACUUCGAUUUUUCUCUACCCUGUACGAGAAGCCCUCUGGUCGCCGGCGGUGGCGCUGGCGGUAACUCCGGCGAAGUCUGCCACCGGAGAACCUCAAGGAUUGAAACAGACCUGGCCACUAGCCACACGCAUCGACGAGUUCAUCUCUAAAGGACAUAAUUGGUGUCCAACAAAGGAGCAUCACAUGCAUGACACUGGACCCCAUAGGAAGUUUCACUUAGUUGCUGAUCUGUAACUUUGUGUCAUCACCUGAGGAACCCAACAUGUACUUGUUGAAAGUUACAGAUGUAUUACUAAUCAGUAAAGGUAAAGCUAUCAAUUGUUUUGUCCAUUGUAGUAGGUAAUGCAUUACAGGUUUGGUUUCUGGCCUGCCUAAUCUCCGUUUAAAAUGGCUUUGCUAGCAAUCUUUUUAAUUGGUGGUUUGCUCAUUUGAGGAAAUGAUUUCCAUGAUAAGGUAUAUGCGCUAAGUGGGACAAUGGUUACAUGGUAAAGCAUGUGCUGAUGUGCACUACAUUAUGCAACCUUUGGAUAGAAGCUAAUGUAACUAUGUGGAUAUCAAUGGGGACAAAAAGUUACUAAGCAUAGGGGGUCGUGGAGAGUUAUUUGGUGUAUGGUGUUAUCUACUUGUCACUAGAUGGCUAUGAAGGGCCGGCAGCUCAAGUACGGUACACUUCAAAAUACCAUGUCUGCCCAAGCGAACUGUCAAUAUAGGGUAAUAUCAUGUGAUUGGAGUUUCCUCAGUUCUUUCAUAAGUCCAUCCAUAUCUGAGGUCCGGCCGGAGAUGUGAAUGACGAGCUAGAUGAGAUGACAGAAUCAACAAUUGGUUUGGUUAGGUUGCAAGCACAAGUAAUGAGAAACCUCAUCUUGCAGUUAAAUUAUGGUGCUGAUUAGACGGGAGUUUUGACUUUCUCUCUUAUUUGAUGUGUGAUGGAUAUCCUGUACAUAUCAAGCAAUCAUGCAACAAACAGUACCUUUUGUUUGAACCAACAAAUACUACCUUGAUUUAGUUUUGACCGCUGCAUAUUCUGAAAUAA